GCUGGGGGCGUUUCUUUACCUUUUCACCCUCCUUUCCUUUUUUUCCUUUUUUUUUUUUUUUUUUUUUAAUUUCCCUCAGGAGGAAGGGUUUCGGGCCGCGGUUUGUAUGUAAACAUUUGAUACAGAACGGAUUUGCUGCCUUCCACUAGCAGGGGCUCCUUUGUGGGAUGCCGUGGCUUCAUGUCGGAGAGAAGACCGUGAAAUGGUGUGAGCUGUGGCUUCUCAGGAAAAUGUUUACAGUUCAAACAGGAGCAAAAGUUGCAAAAAAAAAAAAAAAAAUUUGGCCAGAAAGGGUUAACCCCCAGUGAGAUGAACUUCCAGACAGGCAUCAAAAUCCUCGGAAGAGGCAACAAAGGCAGGCAGGAAGCUAGAACCUGUUUGGGACACUAGGAUGUCUCUGUGGGUAUAAAUAUAUAGAGGGGCAUGCCUAUAAGGUUGUGUCCUCCUGACAAGAUGCAUUAUGUAAAAACAUUCUGAUGUGGCUUUGCUGCUGUAUAAACAGCAAUAUUCUCA